rnacentral:rRNA from 1 species
GGGCAGUGCGGCAGGCUACCAUGCAAGUCGAGCGGAACAAGAGGUGCUUGCACCUCUGGCGUCGAGCGGCGGACGGGUGAGUAAUGCUUGGGAAUAUGCCUUAUGGUGGGGGACAACAGUUGGAAACGACUGCUAAUACCGCAUGAUGUCUACGGACCAAAGUGGGGGACCUUCGGGCCUCACGCCAUAAGAUUAGCCCAAGUGGGAUUAGCUAGUUGGUGAGGUAAUGGCUCACCAAGGCGACGAUCCCUAGCUGGUUUGAGAGGAUGAUCAGCCACACUGGGACUGAGACACGGCCCAGACUCCUACGGGAGGCAGCAGUGGGGAAUAUUGCACAAUGGGCGCAAGCCUGAUGCAGCCAUGCCGCGUGUGUGAAGAAGGCCUUCGGGUUGUAAAGCACUUUCAGUAAGGAGGAAAGGUUAAGUGUUAAUAGCACUUAACUGUGACGUUACUUACAGAAGAAGCACCGGCUAACUCCGUGCCAGCAGCCGCGGUAAUACGGAGGGUGCGAGCGUUAAUCGGAAUUACUGGGCGUAAAGCGUACGCAGGCGGUUUGUUAAGCGAGAUGUGAAAGCCCCGGGCUCAACCUGGGAACUGCAUUUCGAACUGGCAAACUAGAGUGUGAUAGAGGGUGGUAGAAUUUCAGGUGUAGCGGUGAGAUGCGUAGAGAUCUGAAGGAAUACCGAUGGCGAAGGCAGCCACCUGGGUCAACACUGACGCUCAUGUACGAAAGCGUGGGGAGCAAACAGGAUUAGAUACCUUGGUAGUCA